UAAAAGGAAGCGACGCUCGCUAGCAUCAGUGGACUUUUCGUCUGUAAUGAAACGAAAAAACGGCAGGCCGGUGCUUAUCACCACUCCGGUGCUGGGAUAGAUAACAACGCCGCUAAAGCUUACGAGCACGCGAGCAGAAAAAGCCUCAGUCAAGGGAGCAAAAAUUGACAGACGGUCUGAUUGGCUCGUGAUAAGGACAACUACGACGCUUACCGGUUGUUGUGAUUGGCUGGAAUGAGGAAAUCGCCCCAUGAGUUGUGUGUCCGUGCAGACCGAAUAUCCCACGAAGCGCAUCCUCGCUGACGGCCUCCGGACGAUCGAUUUUGUUUCCCAGGAUGAGAACCGGCACAUUUGAGAUGGUG